UACGUAGGGGGCUAGCGUUGCUCGGAAUUAUUGGGCGUAAAGAGCGUGUAGGCGGCCAGAUAAGUCCGCUGUGAAAGCUCGAGGCUCAACUUCGAGCUGUCGGUGGAAACUAUCUGGCUAGAGUCCGGAAGAGGAGAAUGGAAUUCCUGGUGUAGCGGUGAAAUGCGCAGAUAUCAGGAAGAACCCCCGUGGCGAAGGCGGUUCUCUGGGACGGUACUGACGCUGAGACGCGAAAGCGUGGGGAGCGAACAGG
rnacentral:rRNA from 1 species